UCUAUAAGUUUCGAAUAAUAGUUUAUUAUCUGGUAAAAGCAGCAGCCGGCUGGGUGACAGAAAUGGGACCAGUUUCCCAAAUCUGCACACCCCUACUACAGGGUACAUUUAGUAUUUCCCUUAGCUACUUCAUGCAUAUUAAUUAUAUCCUAGACAUAGACAUUCUGCAGGUUUUUGCUAAGUAUUUAAUAGAUGGGUUUUCUUACAGCUAAAGCUAAAGGGUUAUCUCUACAACCGUCAUAAUUCAUGCAUUCUUGGAUGAACAGGCGCCUAAAGAUUUAAAGUUCUACUAUAUUUUAUUCUUAGGAUAGUAAGGAGGUUUUAGGCCUCUUGACUUUGUGAGGGUCUGUUUUAUUUCUUUAUGGGGGUGUAAUUAAGUUUUACAAUCUGUUUGUUUUAUUUUGAUGUAAUCACCCAUUUGUUUCACGAAUCACGAUUAUUUAUAUAUCACAAAAAGUCACUGUGAUAGAGGAACAGGUAAAUAUUAAGAACUUUAGUUUUAGUUGGAGGUUGUGUUUAGCCAUAUUUGUUGGAUUUCUAUGGUGUACACUUGAGCAAGGUUAUAAAACUCCGUGCAUGUUUUAAACAUUGCAGUUGGAGGUAAAUCUGGAUUAUUCAAUACUUCCUCUGCAAAUGUGAAUCUGUCAUUACAACAAUAUAAGUUUGCCCUUUUUUGGAAAUAGAAAUACAGGUUUUAGCAACUGCUGGACAUCUCCACCUUUAUGCAAAAUGUUCCGUGUCUUUAUUUUAGAUUUGGAUUAUGGUGGUUUUCUAACCCAGCCACAGUUCUGCAGUAUAGAACAGGUUCUGGCAUACACACUGUGCCCUAAAGAAAGUUCUGGCUGUAGGUAGAAUGCCAUGAACAAUUCCUUAUUGUCUGAGUGGCUUCAGAGGAAACGUUCAUGAGUUAUUUUCUCAGAUGCAGGUAGACUGUCUUCAAAUAAUGUCAAGUUUCUGUGCUCCUUCUGUCUAAAUUUGAGUUUCCCCAGCCUGCCUGGUUAGGUGUUCCUCAACCAGACGCCAGGAGGAGACGGCAGAGAGAGCCCGGGCUCCCGCAGGGCUGAGCAGCGAGUCAGGGGCUCUACGCCUCAGGGCUUUGGCCUGUGCUGCAAACUCCUCUAACUUCUGCCUUGGAACCAGUGGAGGAGCACCUGGAGCACACCUCGGUGUUCCAAGGACAGAGACUCCCUGACUCACCGUGGCAGACAGGCAAGAGGAGGCCCGGAAGGGAGGGAGCCAGGUGAGAGCAAAGUGCCCCUCCCGCAGCCUGGCAGAGGGGCUGUCAGGGUGGGCAGCACAGGUGCCAUGCCCGGGGCCACUGUCUCUCUCCCUCCAGCAUGCCUGCUGUGCCAGCCAUCAGAGCCUGACCCGGACAUCUGCGGGCAAAAAAGUUUCGUAUUUGGGCUCUGUGUCCACAAGCUCUGCCUGUUUUUUGUCAGCAACUCUCCUGACAUCCCGGUUCAGCGACUAGAAGACUGGAAUAUUGGUGCAAGGGAGAUCCCACAUACAGUCUCCUGGGCAGCACAGCAGGUGAGAGCCUGACAAGAGCAGGGAGAUUUGGGCCAGGCGAGGUUUGCUGGAGCUCAGCCCAGACCCCAAGCAAGAAAGCCCAGCCCUUCCAACCAGCUCUGGCACAAGGAGGAGGCCCUGAGGGUGCUGCUGAUGGGGCUGCUCUGCUCUUUCCAGAGCUGCUGCAUCUGUGGCCAGAGUGGGGCCACCAUCCCCUGCUGUGAUGGCACAGGGGGAAGGCAGGGACACCCUGCACCUGCCCGAUUCCAGGACAGAGGGAGCUCAUCAGUUUUCUUUUCCCAUCAGGCCACCAUCAUGGGAGGGCUUUAAUGCAUUGGCCGAGCUAGAAGAGAGACACAGGCACUGGGAUGCCAGUGAGUGCCUUUGUCCAGGAGGCAGGCAGGAGGCAGAGGAGGAGGGGCCCUGGGAACUGCUCCUGUGCUCCUCCUGUGCUGCCGAGGGCACCCACAGACACUGCUCUGGCCUGGGGACAGCAGAACCAGAUGGGAAUGUGAUGGCUGUGCACUCCCGGGCACAGGUAAAAGGCAAAGCACCCUGCCUCCAGUUAAGACCCAGAGCAUGUUGCUCUCAUGAGGGAGUCUUCUGACGACUUGACAGAAUACGAGACCAUCACCCCCAGUACGAGCAAACUCCAUAGCAACCAACAGGCAACAUCGGAGGAGACUCUGGAAUCCCCCUCCCAGGAGACGAGCAGCUCCAGCCCUGACAGUCAGGUAACAUCGGGGUCGUGUCAGUGUUUCCUGCCUCGGAACCAGUGGAGGAGCACCUUGGAAGAGACCUCGGUGUUCCGAGGACAGACGCCCUGCUGACAUCACCAUGGCAAGCCCCCGAAGAAAGGGAGCAAGCCCCCGAAGAGAGACAGGAAGCCCCUGAACAGAGAGAGGACCAAGCCCCCGAAGACAGGCAGGAAGCCCCCGAAGACAGGGAGCCAGGUGAGAGCAAAGUGCCCCUCCCGCAGCCUGGCAGAGGGGCUGUCAGGGUGGGCAGCACAGGUGCCAUGCCCGGGGCCACUGUCUCUCUCCCUCCAGCAUGCGUGCUGUGUCAGCAACCAGAGGCUGACCCGGACAUCUUGUGCGGAAAAACUCCGGAUAAAUGGUUUCUGUGCCCACCAGUUCUGCCCUCCCAACAGCGAAACCAGUCCCGCCAGCCAACGGGACUGGUCAAUGCAACAGGAGCCACUGGGAGGGACUGGGAGGGACUGGGUGUCAUUAUCUAGUUAACUAAACCAAGUCCCUUCACUAUAAACCUUAGACAAGGUAAAAGGGAGGUAACUUGUUUUAUGUCUUUACAGGGGCCCAAUUAAGUUUUACGAUUUCUUUUUCUUUUCUCUCUCUAGGUUGUGUUGACCUCAGGCUGUUUUCUUUUUAUGUACCUCAAAUCGUUCUCCCUUUUACCUUGUCUAAAAUUUCUAGUGAAGGGACUUGGUUUAGUUAACUAGAUAAUAACACCUUUCUUAAAAGUUGAUAACUGUGUAGAUAACAAGCACCCAUCUGCUCAGUGUCUGACC